UUCCAGGCAACUGAUUUGCGUGUUUAUUUGUGUGUGUAGCGGGCCGUAAAGUAUGCAAUUCUGCUUGCUGCACAAAGCGGACUGCAAAUGGUCGACGCCGCUAGAAAUUAGGCGAAAGCACGCAAAAGCUCAGGAGCUUUUUCCUGCAGCCAGGCAGCCAGCAGCCGGCCAGGUAGCUUGUCAGCGCAACAAUAGCAGCAGUGCAGGAGCCAUAUGCAUUGUCGGGUCACUGGUGCAGCAGUCGGGACUGGCUCAGACCGGGAAAGCCGGCCGGGUUGCAAGUAGCAGCGUUGCGGUGAGGGUGGUGGCAGAGUAGUGUGGCGCCACAGUAAAUAUUGCUUAAUAUCUAAAUCCUCCACAUCAUUAACAAAAUCCACGCGUCGUCAGCGCCUUCGUGGAUGAGCGAGCGGGCGAGUGGUUAGGCGCCGGAUGCGGAGCAAUGCAGCGGCAUCCCAAUCGCAUUAUAUAACGAAAACGUAAUUUUAUUUCGAGGGAAAAAAGUCCUGCAAAGUGCAGCAUGCACCUAUAUUAUCGAUUUUACAUCGAGGUGUACGCAGUAUUGAAAGAGCGAGAGAAAAGAACACAGAGUGAUAAGAGAAGAGCGCAAAUAAAACGAUAUGAAAAGCAACUGCAUUGCCGGUGCGUGCAUUGCUGAGCUCAAAAACAGAGCGAAGAGCUUAUUGGAUACAUUUAGUACAUAGUAAUGUAUUUAGGGCUGCCAAGGGUCGGAAAAGAUAUAUACAUACCAAGUAUUAAAACUAUAUAGUAC